AUACGUAUUUUGUAAGAACCUCUUGCAUCCUUACUGUCUGAGAGGAAGGAUUUGCCCUGAUGAGUAAUGCAUCUUUGCUUCUACCUAACUGUGCAUGUGUCAUUUAUUUGAGCAGAUUCUUUCCAAUGUCAUCAGCAACUUCAUCAAUCUUCAACCCUUCUGUUACUUUUUGCUUUGAGGAUUAAGGACAGAGAACUGGAAGAAGUAUUUCCUGGUGUUCAUGAUGAAGAUCAGGUUUAUCUGUAUGCUGUGGCCUGUGAUAUGAAAGCCACAAGUUUUAUCAUCCUUGAUAACCCGGAAGUUGCAUUAAUCAAAGGCUUUGUGACACAUUCUGUGUCCUGAGUGGUGGUGAUUCAAGCCAAGGGACUGAUAAGGUGCAUGAGCCAACCAAAGGGCCAAGCGAAUCUUCAUGAAGGUUGGCUUCUAAGAGAGGAGAUACAGUGCCACGUAGCAAGAACCACCUGGGAAGGAAUUUGAGGUCUUGUAAAGCAUUCACAGGUCAGCUGAAUUUCAAAA